UACGUAGGGUGCGAGCGUUGUCCGGAAUUAUUGGGCGUAAAGGGUGCGUAGGCGGGUCUUUAAGUCAGGGGUGAAAUCCUGGAGCUCAACUCCAGAACUGCCUUUGAUACUGAGGAUCUUGAGUUCGGGAGAGGUGAGUGGAACUGCGAGUGUAGAGGUGAAAUUCGUAGAUAUUCGCAAGAACACCAGUGGCGAAGGCGGCUCACUGGCCCAUUACUGACGCUGAGGCACGAAAGCGUGGGGAGCAAACAGG
rnacentral:rRNA from 1 species